GCUUUCUCACCUCAUGGAAAUCGCAAAUUCUAGAGAUGACGGGAUGAGUUUUCCGAAGCUGUGGGUGACCUAAGGUUCAUUUUGGUAACACAGGAAACUCAAAAGCAUCAUGCGGUGGAAACAUAAAGCAAUUAGAGAAGGUCCAAUGUUUGUGCAUGUUGCAUUCUUUCUAAAAUGCUUGAUAAUGGAUGCCUCAAAACAUGAUGUUACAAGACUAUAGUAAUGGCAAGCAGACUGGAAAUAGCCCAACUUGAGAAUUAGGCGGCUUCGUUUUCUAAAUUGCAAUUUGGAGAAGCAUCCUUGGUGGUGGAUCAGGACCAAGUUUCCUAAAAAGGGACACCGGUGAGAGUGAGCCCUGUCAUGCCCAGACCCGGUCGCACCAGGAGGUGUUGUAGGCGAGUUAGGUUAUUUGGGAAUGCAACCCCAAUUUGGCGGUAAAUUCUAUCCAAGGCUAAAUACGGGUAAGAAAUUGGUAACAAACAAGUACCUGGAGGGAAAGAUGAAAAAGACUCUAAAAAGAAAGUUAAAGAGUGCCUGAAAUUAUUGGGCCAGGGAGUCUGACAUGUGUGCGAGUCAACGGGCGAGUAAACCCGUAAGGCGUAAGGAAGCUGACCGGCGCGAUCCCCCCCGAGGGGUGCAACGCCGACCGACCUUGAUCUUCUGAGAAGGGUUCGAGUGAGCAUACCUGUCGGGACCCGAAAGAUGGUGAACUAUGCCUGAGCGGGGCGAAGCCAGAGGAAACUCUGGUGGAGGCCCGCAGCGAUACUGACGUGCAAAUCGUUCGUCUGACUUGGGUAUAGGGGCGAAAGACUAAUAGAACCAUCUAGUAGUAGCGGGAUCUUUUUGAAGUUUCCUUUAGGAUAGCUGGAACUUAAGUGCGGGUUCUAUCGUGUAAAACCAAUGAUUAGAGGCAUCGAGGGCGCAACACCCUCGACCUAUUCUCAAACUUUAAAUAGGUAGGACGGCGCGGCUGCUUCGUUGAGCCGUGCCAAGGAAUCGAGAGCUCCAAGUGGGCCAUUUUUGGUAAGCAGAACUGGCGAUGCGGGAUGAACCGGAAGCCGGGUUACGGUGCCCAACUGCGCGCUAACCUAGAUCCCACAAAGGGUGUUGGUCGAUUAAGACAGCAGGACGGUGGUCAUGGAAGUUGAGAUUCGCUAAGGAAUGUGUAACAACUCGCCUGCCAAAUCAACUAGCCCCGAAAAUGGAUGUCGCUUAAGCGCGACCUAUACUCGGCUGUUAGGGUAGGAACUAGGCCUCGAUGAGUAAGAGGGCACGACAGUCGCUGCUCACGCCUAGGGUAGAGCGAUUGUCAAUAUGGAUCUCUUGGUGGUAGUAAUAAAUAUUCAAAUGAGAACUUUGAAGGUAGAAAAAGGGGAAAUGUUCGUGAAUGGUACUGGCACAGGGGUUAAUCGAUCCUAAAGGUCGGGGAAAACCCAACAGAUAGCGUGUUCAGUGCGUGCUUUGAAAGGGAAUCAGGUUAAAAUUCCUGAACCGAGACGUGGCGGUUGAUGGCAACAUUAAGGAGUUCGGUGAUGUCGACAGGAGGUCUCGGGAAGAGUUUUCUUUUCUGUUUAACAGCCUACCUACCCUAGAAAUGGCUUAGCUAGAGACGGGGUCCAACAACUGGAAGAGCACCACACGAUACAUGGCGUCUAGUGUGUCCCUGGCGACCAUUGAAAAUUCAGAAGAUCGAGUGCCAUUCGGGCCCGGUUAUACUCAUAACCACAUCAGGUCUCCACAGUGAAUAGCCUUUGGUCGAUGGAAUAAUGUAAGCAAGGGAAGUCGAUAAAAAUGGAUCUGUAACCUAGAGAAACAGAUUGGCUCUGAGGGUUUGGCACGGGGGCCCCAGUCCUGAAGUCGUCAACUAUUGGCGAAUUGCUCACGUGGCAAGAUCAGAUUGUUGCAUGUCACAUGAGGAAUGGACUAGGAAUAGCUCUUUUGGAGGAAUCCAACUGUUUUAUUAAAAUAAAGCAUUGCGAUGGUCUCUGCAGAUGUUCUGUGAUUUUUGCCCAGUGCUUUGAAUGUCAAAGUGAAGAAAUUCAACUAAGCGCGAGUAAACGGUGGAAGUAACUAUGGCUCUCUUAAGGUAGCCAAAUGUCUCGUUAUCUAAUUAGUGAUGCGCAUGAAUGGAUUAAUGAGAUUACCACUGUCCUCGUCUACUAUCCAGUGAAACUAUAGCCCAACGAAAUGGGCUUGGCGGAAUCAGUAGGGAAAAAAAGACCCUGUUGAGUUUGAUCUAGUCCAACUUUGUGAAAUGACUUGAUAGAUGUAGGAUAAGUACGAGUCGAAAGGCGAAAGUGAAAUGCCACUACUUUUAACAUUAUUUUAGUUAUUCGGUGAAUCGGAUGCGGGGUAUUGCCCUUUUCUUUUGAACCCAAGGCCUGCUUCGGCAAGCUGAUCCGAGCGGAAGACAUUGUUAAGUGGGGAGUUUGGCUAGGGCAGCACAUCUAGUAAAAGGUAACGCAAGUAUCCUGAGAUGAGCUCAAUGAGAAUAUAAAUCUCGUGUGGAACAGAAGGGUAAAAGCUCGUUUGAUUCUAAUUUUCAAUAUGAAUACAAACCGUGAAGGUGUGGCCUAAGGAUCCUUUAGACCUUCGAAAUUUGAAGCUAGAGGUGUAUGAAAAGUUACCACAGGGAUAACUGGCUUGUGGCAGCCAAGCAUUCACAGUGACAUUGCUUUUCAUCCUUCGAUGUUAGCUCUUCCUAUCAUUGUGAAGCAGAAUUCCGCAAAGUGUUGGAUUGUUCACCCAUCAAUAGGGAAUGUGAGCUGGGUUUAGACAGUCGUGAGACAGGUUAGUUUCACUGUACUGAUGACAGUGCCAAAAAUAGUAAUUUAACCUAGUACAAUAGGAACCGUUGAUUCGCCUAAUUGGCCAUCAUGCUUGGUUGAAAAGCUAGUAGUGCGAAGCUAUCAUGUGCUGGACUAUAACUGAACACCUUUAAGUCAGAAUCCGGGCUAGAAACGACGCAUACACCUAUCGUCUUUUUGUUGACCUACAAUAGGGGCUUCAUGGCCCCCAAGGGCAUGUGUCGUUGGCCAAGCCCUCACGAUAAAUGAGCCGCAUUGGCCGCUUUGAGUCACAGUU
rnacentral:rRNA from 1 species